UAGUCAUAUGCUUGUUUCAAGGACUAAGCCAUGCAUGCCUCAGAAUGACUGCAUUGCAGGAAUCUGCGCAUGGCUCAUUACAUCAGACGUAAUCUGCCGCAAAAAUGUUGCGGUUUCGCAAGAUUGGAUACCUUGGCGAAACGCCAAGCUAAUACAUGAACAAGAAGCACCCUCCACUCCAUGUUUGGCGCAAGUCAAGCAGCGAGGGGCUUUGCGAAUGAAUGAAACUAGAACCAAUGCUCGCAAGAGCAGCAACACAAGCAGUGUUGAAUCAAUUCAUUCCGUGCGAAAGCCGGUUUACCGGCGUCUUUCGAUGAACAACUGCCCUAUCAGCCAGUGAUGGCCGUGUAGUGGACUGCCAUGGCGUUGACGGGAGCGGGGGAUUAGGGUUCGAUUCCGGAGAGGGCGCCUGAGAAAUGGCGACCACUUCUACGGAGGGCAGCAGGCGCGCAAAUUGCCCAAUGCCAAAACAAAUGAUGAGGCAGCGAAAAGAAAUAGGUGCCCCAAACUCCUUGUGGGUUUGGGGCUUUCAAUGGGGGAUAUUUAAAACCAUCCAACAUCGAGUAACAAUU
rnacentral:rRNA from 1 species